rnacentral:rRNA from 1 species
GAGUUUGAACCUGGCUCAGGAUGAACGCUGGCGGCGUGCCUAAUACAUGCAAGUCGAGCGAACCACUUCGGUGGUGAGCGGCGAACGGGUGAGUAACACGUAGGUGAUCUGCCCAUCAGACGGGGACAACGAUUGGAAACGAUCGCUAAUACCGGAUAGGACGAAAGUUUAAAGGUGCUUCUGGCACCGCUGAUGGAUGAGCCUGCGGCGCAUUAGCUAGUUGGUAGGGUAAAGGCCUACCAAGGCGACGAUGCGUAGCCGACCUGAGAGGGUGAACGGCCACACUGGGACUGAGACACGGCCCAGACUCCUACGGGAGGCAGCAGUAGGGAAUCUUCGGCAAUGGGCGAAAGCCUGACCGAGCAACGCCGCGUGAAUGAUGAAGGCCUUCGGGUUGUAAAAUUCUGUUAUAAGGGAAGAACGACUUUAGUAGGAAAUGGCUAGAGUGUGACGGUACCUUAUGAGAAAGCCACGGCUAACUACGUGCCAGCAGCCGCGGUAAUACGUAGGUGGCGAGCGUUAUCCGGAAUUAUUGGGCAUAAAGAGCGCGCAGGUGGUUGAUUAAGUCUGAUGUGAAAGCCCACGGCUUAACCGUGGAGGGUCAUUGGAAACUGGUCGACUUGAGUGCAGAAGA